rnacentral:lncRNA from 1 species
GACACAAAAUUCUAGAGAAAGCAUCUACGUGGGUUCCAGUGAGUCAAAAGUCUACCAUUAUGUGAUACAGCUGUGACCAAGGGUACAGAAUCAUGCAGCACAGAUAUAGCCUUUGGAGAUCCACCUCUGUGCAAAUGCAAAGAAACUAUUAUUCCCUACACCCAAAGAUGCCUGAACUAAUAUGAUUCUGGUCAUUGUCUAUUCUGCCCAGGGCAUUGGCUUCCACCCGAGUAGCAAGCCGAUGUAGAGAGAAGAAAUGAGAAAAAAUCCGAGGAAAAUGAAGGAAAGCCUGCUCUACUUCUGAACUUUCAGGUGGACAUUCAAGAUUGGUUUGAUUGGAAACCACAGGAGGUGAUGCUGACUAAUUUAUAUAAAGAAGGAUUUAUGCAAUGCCAUUGGAUGAGCUCCUGAAAUCAAAGGUGGCAAACUUAUCUCUGGAGUUCAAAGACCAGGAGCAGAUGCCAAGCAAGGGACCGCUUCAAAGAAACUGGAAGACUGCCAGCUUCUAAGAUUAGCACUGCCACUACAAUAAUUUUGCCACGUUCAGAGUUGGGCUGAAUCCAGAGGCUGCUUCUCUAAUUGAAGGGUCCUAGUGUGGCUCCCUAAGUUCUUUACUUUCCGUCAGCUGUUCCCCAGCAUGCAGGCUUUUCCAGCCACUGCUGGAUUGCUUGUACUGCUUCCUAUAUGCAAGAGUCAACAUUCUUAGUUAAUAAUAGAAAGGAAUGAAUGGUAAUAAGUUCAGGGAAAUUAAUUGCUAGAUUAUGAUGAGACUUCUUGUUUAUUUUGUUCUCUGUGUUUGUCGUACCCACCUAAAUUAGGUGCCCCCUUCUGUACCUGGCUCUCUUGCCUGUAUUAUCUAUCUUCCUCAGCAAAGUAUCCUCUGUGUUGAAUGGACAAUCAAAUAAAUGUUAGA